GGAUGUUGUCUGGAUGGACUACACAUGGGAGAUUAGCUUGUCCAUAUUGUAAUGGAACGACAGAUGCGUUUCAACUGAAGAAUGGUAGGAAGACAAGUUGGUUUGAUUGUCACCGUCGAUUUCUUCCCAUUGGUCAUCCUUACCGAAGAAACAAGAAUUUGUUUAGGCACAAAAGGGUUGUGAGAGACACUCCUCCUCCAUAUCUAACUGUAGAACAAAUUGAAGCGCAAAUCGACUACUACGGAGCUAACGAAACAGUUCGUUGGGGUGGUAAUUGGCAUUUCCCUCGUAAUAUGCAUGAUUCUUACGGUGUUCAUCACAACUGGCACAAGAAGAGUAUAUUUUGGGAGUUUCCAUAUUGGAAGGAUCUUCUUCUGCGCCACAACCUCGAUGUGAUGCAUAUAGAGAAGAAUUUCUUUGAGAACAUCAUGAAUACAAUAUUGAAUGUCCCAGGGAAGACAAAAGACAACAUAAAAUCGAGGUUGGACUUGCCGGAUAUUUGCUCAAGAAGCGAGUUACAUAUUAAAAGCAAUGGACAAGUUUCCGUUCCGAUAUUCAGAUUAUCUUCAGAAAAAAAGUCGGUGUUGUUCAACUGGGUGGCAUCAGAAGUGAAGUUCCCUGAUGGGUAUGUUUCAAACCUCUCUAGAUGUGUUGAAAAGGGUCAAAAGUUCUCCGGGAUGAAGAGUCAUGAUUGUCAUGUCUUUAUGCAACGACUACUGCCCUUUGCAUUUGCGGAGCUACUUCCAACAAACGUACAUGAAGCACUUGCAGGUACGUAGUGUAUUAUAUCACAAUAAUUUACAAAAUAAUAUAAGACUAACAAUGUGUUUAAUUUUUUUUUGGAAUAUAAAAGGCAUUGGAACAUUUUUCAGGGAUCUGAGCACACGCACUCUUAAAGAAGAAGUUGUGGAACAGCUUCAGGAGAACAUUCCCAUCUUAUUGUGCAACUUGGAGAAGAUAUUUCCUCCUGGAUUUUUUGACGUCAUGGAGCAUCUAGCUGUCCACCUCCCAUAUGAGGCAUUGCUUCGUGGACCUGUACAUUACGGAUGGAUGUAUCAGUAUGAGCGAGCCAUGAAAUAUUUGAAGGGAAAAGCAAAGAACCUCGCCAAAGUUGAAGGUUCUAUAAUUGCUGGAAGUUUUACGGAAGAAGUUUCUCACUUCACAUCGUACUACUUUGCGUCAAAAGUACGUACCCGGAGAAGAUCUCCAACAAGAUAUGAUGAUGGUGGUGUUGCGCCAACAUAUGCAGUUGCUGGUGUUCCAGACAUCUUUAGCCAGAUUGGGCGACUCGGUGGGAAGUCUAAAGAGGUUUGGUGGUCGAGUGAACAAGACGCUCAUAGUGCACACACCUAUAUUCUACUCAAUUGCGAAGAUCCAUUGAUGCGUUAUUUUGAAAGGUAACAUAUAUUGACACUUCGAAACACAUAUAAGUAUAAUUAAUUGUAUAAUUGCGAGAGAUUCAUUCCUAUAAAAUGUGAUUUUACAGCCUGUUUGUUUCUCAAGUCGAAGAAACAUUUCCUGGUAUAUCCACAAGUGACGUAGACAAAAGAAAAGGUCAACACUUCAUUAAGUGGUUGCAGAAUCAGGUAUUAACUCAAACUCUUUUUUCAUACAUGAUAUGUAUUUCAUUAACAUUCUCUUUAUUUUUGCAGGUUGAUUAUGACGACGACGAUGCAGAUUAUCCUAAGUGGUUACACGAAGUAAUUCAAUCUCCACUUGUAAAGGUCACCACAUCACAGAUGUAUUUCACACGAGGCUAUACUUUUCAUACAUAUGAGUAUGGUAGACAGCGGGCGACCAGUAACUAUGGAAUAUGUGUGAAAGGGGAAACAGAUUUCUACGGGAUCUUGACGGAGAUUAUCGAAGUCGAAUUUCCAGGGAUACUGAAGUUGAAAUGCGUCUUCUUCAAAUGUGAAUGGUUCGACCCUGCCGUCAACAGAGGUGUUCGGUCUAACAAAUUCGGUGUAGUUGAUGUCAACGGUGGACGAAGGUACAAGAAAUUCGAGCCUUUCAUCUUAGCUUCACAAGCAGGCCAAGUUAGCUUCCUUCCAUACCCUCGGAUGAGAGAUUCAGGUAUAAAUUGGUUAGCAGUGAUCAAAGUUACACCUCGAGGACGAAUCAUCAGUGGAGAAGAACCACCAUUGCAAGAAGAACAGGUAAAUGAAGUCGAGGAACCUGAACAAGAAAUUGAUGACAUCCUUCUCAUUGAUCCGCAUAAUCACGAGUACGAAGAUCUUACCGAUGAUGCCACAGACGAAGCUGUUGAAGACGAGUUUAAUGAAAAUGAUGAUGUUUCUAGUGAUGACGAGAAUGUAGAUGUAUCCGAUUGAUGUAUUUGUUUUAUGAAUAAGAUGAGGGAGUUUGUUUUAUGAAUAAGAUAAUGUGGGGUUUGUUUUAUGAAUAAGGUAAUGUGGGAGUUUGUUUUAUGAAUAAGCAAAUGUGGGAAUUGUGGUUUGGAAUAGAAAUAAAGAUGGGGUUUGGAAUAUAUGAAGUAGAAAAUAAGGAAUAUGGGGUUUGGGGUUUGGGGUUUCGGAUUCUAGGGAUUUAAACAUAACACUCGUUAAUUCCACGUAAGCCAACGAGGAAAUAACGACGAAAUAUUAAAAUAAAGAACGCAUGCUCGUUAAUUCCACGUAAGCACAAAUCGUCGAAAAGACCACGUAUAAGAAAUCGUCGUAAAUUCCACGUAGGCAGAAAUCUUCGUAAAGACCACGUAUAAGAAAUCGUCGUAAAUUCCACGUAGGCAGAAAUCUUCGUAAAGACCACGUAUAAGAAAUCGUCGUAAAUUUCACGUAGGCAGAAAUCGUCGUAAAUACCUCGUAAGCCCCAACGAGGAAAUAACGACGAAAUUUAAAAAUAAAGAUGGUGUUUGAAAUAUAUGAAAAUAAGGAAUAUGGAGUUUGGGGUUUAGAAUAUGGGGUUUGGGGUUUAGAGGUUUCGAGGUUUGAGGUUUGGGGUUUGGGGUUUCAUCUUAGCUUCACAAGCAGACCAAGUUAGCUUCCUUCCAUACUUCUCAUUGAUCCGCAUAAUCACGAGUACGAAAUUUAAAAAUAAAGAUGGAGUUUGGAAUAUAUGAAAAUAGGGAAUAUGGAGUUUGGGGUUUGGAAUAUGGGGUUUGGAGUUUGGGGUUUAGAGGUUUCGAGGUUUGAGGUUUGGGGUUUGGGGUUUCAGGUUUGGGGUUUUAGGGAUUUAAACAUAAUACUCGUUAAUUCCACGUAGGCAGAAAUCGUCGUAAACACCACGUAAAAGGAUUUAAACAAAAUACUCGUUAAUUCCACGUAACCAGAAAUCGUCGUAAAGACCACGUUGGAUGAAAUCAUCGUAAAUACCACGUAAAAGGAUUUAAACAUAACACUCGUUAAUUCCACGUAACCAGAAAUUGUCGUAAAUACCUCGUAGUGUAAAAACUAGAAAAAAAGGGAAAAGGAUAAAAAUACCAGAUUAACAUGUGGCAAGACUUCCAGCAAUUAUAAUACGUAAGUCUCGCCCACAUGAAUUCUAAUAUCUUAUCCUUUUCCUAUUUUUUUCAAAUAUUUAUAAUUUGAAUAGGAUUUUACUGAGGAAUGUAAUUUCAGAUAGGGUGUGAUUUGGGAGUUUGUGUGUGGUUUGAUAAUGAGAGUUGUGGGUAUAUUUAUAGGAAAGCAAGGCUCCUUAAUUCCACGUAAGCAAAAUCGUCGUUAAUACCUCGUAUAUAAAAACACGGGCCUUUGCGAUUCCUCGUAAUUUCCUCGUAUUGAAAAACACGGGCCUUUGUAACUGCUCGCUAUUUCGUCGUAAACUUACGACGAAUUUGCGACGAUAUGUAAUCUUAUAUAUACCCCCGAGCGCUCACUCUUUCUUUCCUCUCUACUUCCUCUCCACCUCCUCUCCAUUUCGUAGCAAUGGUAAGUCUCUCUAAUUUGGUUAGUUUAGGAUAGAUUAGGUGGUUAGUAUAGGGAAUUUAGAUAGGUUUACGGAUUUUAUGUUAUUUAGUGUUUAUUAGGUGGAUAAUGUUGGAAAAUAUACUGUUGAUGUUAAUUUUAAAAAUUUAAUUUUUUUCUCAGGUUCGAAAAGCAAGACUUACUGCCCAUUACAGAGAGAUCUUCGGUGAGCCGGGUAGUCAUUUAGACCCGGCCUCUUCUUCAACCCCCGGUUCUUCGGGUCAGGAGACUGUCCCCGAGACUCAGUACACUCAGAGAGUCUUUGGGUCUACUUCUUCUAGUGCACCAUCGGCUCCUCAUGUGCCUUCCCCGAUGGCUCAUCCGACGAUGCCUCCUCCUGUGCCUCCUCCGAUGGCACCUCCGAUGGCCGCCGAUAUUCAUCCCGAUUUGAUGGUGCCUCCGAGUGCUCCUUACUCGCAGUACACUGUAGAGGACAUUCUCCGUCUGCCAGGCAGAGAAGGUUUACCAGUCAUCGACCCCGACCGACCGGACGGAACUUUGUGGUAUGUUGCAUUAAUUUUUUUUUAAUUCGUUUAAAAUUCUUUUAUAACAUUAAAAAAUAAUUUAUAUUUUAAAUUUGUAUUUUCCAGGUGGGGGGUUGACGGAUGUCUUGCAUCGGACGUAACCGACACGAUCAAAGGUUACUUCUCUAUGGCACAUCCGAACUGGAGUAAGACGCCUCACUACGUCAGAAAGACGUGGUUCAAAAUUUACGCUGUAAGUUUCUAUUAAUUAAUUAUAUAUACUUUAAUUUUUCAUGAUUUAUAUAUAUACUUUCUAAAAAACUAAUUGUUAAUUUAUUUUUUCCAACAGAAAAAAUAUAAUUGGGCCUUGGAGAUCACUGAGAGGGUGAGGAAGAAGUUUAACGCGAAGGCGAAAGUUCGCUUGUUGGACACGGUCUCCAACUGGAAGGGUGACUGGAUCGUGAAGGGGUAUGAGCGUGGAAAACCCGCUGAGCUCACCACGGAUGUGUGGGAUGGCCUCAUCCGUUAUUGGCGCCUUCCUGAUUCCAUUAGAAUCGCCCAGGCUUGCUCUAACUCCCGUAACACGGUCGAUGAGCACGUAAACGGGCCGAUGCUUCACACUACGGGCCAAAAACCCCACGCCGGUGUCCGUUUGGAAAUGGUAAUUAAAUAUUUUAUUAAAUAAAUUUUUUAAUAUAUAUAUUUUUAUUCUAACUUUCUUAAAUGUUUUUUAGGCCAAAGAGACGGGACAUCUCCCGUCUCUUAUGGAACUUUACGAGAGGAUCCACAAGAACAAGGCGGGCGUAUUUGUAGAUGGCAAGUCCGAGCAAAUCUACAACAACGUGGUUGCUCGGGUUGAAGACCACCAGACUCAGCUGACCCAGCAGUCUACCGACGGAUUACCCGUCACCUUAUCCACACUUGAAGUGGAUAAGAUUUACGAGGAGGUAAAUUUUCAAAAAUUUUAAUUUUUUAUUAUUCAUUUAAUAUAACUUUAAAUUUUUACUAAUAAUAUUUAUUUUUUGUUUUUAAGGUUGUUCCUAAAAAAAGGGACGGACGUUGGGGAGUGGUGACGUCAACGAUGUUCCGAGAGCGACAUCUUCUUAUGGUCAGCGACGGGAUGAUGAAGUCACUGAGCUGCGUAGAAAGUCCGCUCAGCUGCGUAACGAGUUGGCCGCGACAAAAUCUCGUAUGGGUGGAGUCGAGGGCUUCCUGGACGUUAUAGCGGCCACAAAUCCGGAAUGUGAGUCCAUGUUGAGGAACAUGCGACAACAACAUCCCAUUCGAAGCGAGUCAUCCGACGUACAUAACGAGGCGGAUGUUACGAGGAGUGAUGAAUUCUACCAGGCGAUGAACGACCCUUAGGUUUUUUUUUCCGCUUGUUGUAUUAUAAAUUCAAAACUUAUUUAUAUAUAAAAUAUUUUCAUAUUGAUUUAUUUUUAUUUUAGAUUUUAAUUUUAUUAAUAAAUUAAAUAAUUUUAAUUGUUUUUUAAUUAUAUUUUUAAAUUCUGUAAAAUAAUAAAAACGAAGUAAAUUCGUAGCUAAGGUACAACCUAUUUACGUGUAAACCUUACGAGGAAAUGACGACAAAUUAUAAACGAGUAUUUUACGAGAAAACAUUUACGAGGAAAUAACGAGGAAAGCUAAACGAGUAUUUUACGAGAAAACAUUUACGAAGAAAUAACGAGGAAAGAUAAACGAGUAGUUUACGAGGAAACACUUUCAAGGUAUUUACGUGUAGUUUACGAGGAACUUGUUUCGAGGUAUUUACGAGGAAAUAUAGCGACCUCCUUACGUGGAAUGUUGAUGUGGUCUUUACGACGAAAUGAUCUACUUCGUCUUUACGACGAAAUAUAUUCCUCACUACGUUACGACGAAUUAGCGAGGAAAUAUGUGUUACGACAGAUGAGUAACGAGCAAACGUGGUUCCUCGCUAAUUCGUCGUAAAACCUCUUUUACGACGAACUCACGAGGAAAACCGCCCUCGUUAAGAUUAUGUUUUAUUGUAGUGUAUCUCCAGUAUAUAGAUCAUCAUUGUCAGAAAAAAAAUAUUGUUUCGUUUUUUAACUGUGUGUAUUACCAGUGUUAUUUACAAAAUAUGCUUUUCAAUCGCUGAAUAAUAUUAGUAUAUAAAUUUUUUGAAAUAAUAGUGACGUCUCAUAUAUGGCAACCACUAAACUAAGCAGAGCCGGCUUAUGAAGAAUGAGGGAAGACAAUAAGUGCAAUGGUCUGGGCCCAGUACCAGAUCAUGCGAUCUAGAUAUUCAUUAAAAAAACAAAAAAAACGAUUCUAAUUUUUUUUAUAUAUUAAUUUUUGUGUUAAAAGUUAACUACUAAAAAACAUUGAUGGUAUUUAUAAGAAAAAAAAGAUUGAUGUCUGAAAUUGUUUCUUACGUAUAUGUUUUAUUGUAAAAUGCAUAAAAUGUUACUUAUAAUUUUAUUUAAAAAAGAAAUAAUUAAAAAACCUCAAAAAAUAUUAAGGGUUUAAAAGUUAUUUUUUCCUAGAGCCCUAUAUGGAGUUGUUAUCUUCUUUAAAACAUCCUAACAUUCAAUAUGCGUGUACUGCAUUCCCAUGCAUUUUGGCGUCCUUGGACAAACAAAAACUAGACGUCUAAAAAUAGUUAGAAACCAUCAAGUAAUUCAUUAUAAAAAAUAAGAAAACAAAAAAAAAACUUGUGAACUUAAUUGUCGAUAUGUUAAGGGAAAAUAUAUUGGUGUUAACAUUAUUUUCGAUUUAUUGCCUUUCAUCAGCGGCUGGACAAAACAAAUCCUUUUCUGCACUUUUCGCUUUUGGAGAUUCAAUACUAGAUACUGGUAACAAUAAUCGUCUUCUUACUCUACUCAAGGGAAAUUUUUGGCCAUAUGGUUGGAACUAUGACUAUAAGAUACCGACGGGCAGAUUUGGAAAUGGAAGAGUUUUCACCGAUAUGGUUGGUAGGAUAUCACAUACUUUAUACGGUCUUCUUAUUUUUUUUUUACAGAAAAAAAUAAAUGUUUUUUUUUAUUUAUUUUUAUUUAGUUAUCUUAUACUUUAUAUAGAAAAUACGUUAUGGAGGAAAUUGUAUUUUCAUGUCGUGAAAUCUUCUGAUAUAGCUCAAGAGUUGGGGGUGAAAAGAGUUGUACCCGCUUAUCGCAGGAUGCGUCGCAUCAAGCCCGGCGACCUUAAAACUGGCGUUUGUUUCGCAUCAGGUGGUUCAGGAAUUGACCAUCUUACAUCCAGAACGCUGGUUAAGAGAAAAACUACGAACUUGUUAAUUAUUUCCUUAAACACUAUUAUAUAUCUUGACCCAUAUUUUCUAAUUAAUAUAUUUUUUCCUUGGAUGGUCGUGUGUUGUUGUUUGGUUAGGGAGUUUUGUCCACAGGCGACCAAGUAAGAGAUUUCAAAAAAUAUUUGAGGAAACUAAAGACUGCGACGAAAAAUAAGAAAGAAAUGAAAAAAAUAAUUUCAAACGCAGUGUUUCUUAUUUCUGAAGGAAAUAACGAUAUUGGAUACUUCGUGACUCCCGCUCGUCUACGAUUACGAUCCAUAGAUACAUACACAAGUAACAUGGUUUUUUGGACAAAAGCAUUCCUACAAGUAAGACUUUAUAAGAUACACACAUAUAUAUAUAUAUUUGUUUUUGAAAACUUAAAUAUAAUUAUGUUUAUCAAGCAAUGAUAUAGUAUGCAUUUCUUCACAUUCUUUUGGUUUAUGUAACUAUAUAUAUGUAGGAUUUAUAUGAUCUUGGAGCGAGAAAAUUCGCGGUGAUGGGAGUGAUUCCGGUAGGAUGCUUGCCUUUCCAUCGCUUCCUAUUUGGUGGAGUAUUCGCAUGGUGUAACUUCAUGAUGAAUAGAAUUUCGGAAGACUUCAACACAAAAUUACAGAAAGCUCUUAUUGGUUACGAAGUAGAAGAAAGUUUUAAAGGUGCAAAGUUUGUUUACGUCGACAUGUACGGCUCUAUUAUGGAUCUUAUCAACCAUCCUAAGGCCUAUGGUACGUAAUCAAAUACACAUUCAAUAAAUAUAUGCAUGAAAAUAACCAAGUGAUGAUGAUAAUAAUGUUGGCUGCGUUAUCUUUCUAUUAAAAGAUUACACACAAGUCCUAUUAAGUAAUAAUGGCAAAUUGGUUAUGUAUGCGUGUACACAUGCUUGCAGGGUUUACAGAAGCGAAAAGAUCGUGUUGUUGUAUGGUGACAUCGAUAAUACCAUGCCGAAACCCGGAUGAGUACGUAUUCUAUGACUUCGCUCACCCCACCAUGAAAACCUAUGAAGUAAUAUCUAAACCUCUUGUCUAUCAGAUGAGGAAAGGCCUUGCAUGAUUUAGUUCCUUGUUUCUUACCAUGUUUAAUUUUAAUAUUCAUGUAACAGGCGACAAUAUCAUACAUGACGAUAUAAAUUCUUAGUACAAAGAAUGUAUAAACCAAUGAUAUAUAAUUGUAUUGUCCUUUCUUCUAUAAUGUCACAGAACAAACCGCGCUUGUCAAUAAAUGCAUGUAUGGUUACGGAAAUAACACAGAAGAGGGCUUUUAAAAACGAUUGUAAAACCUGUCUACGACUGACCACCCAAAGCCAACGUUCGAUCCAUGCUUAACCCCUCAAUAACGAUUACUAGCAAAUUUAUUAAGAAAAAUCACAGGAGAAAGUAACAGCAAAAUAUAUCAUAUAUAAGCAUCUCCUUCCAUAACCUGGAGAUGAAGCUUUUUAAUGUUGCCACCGUAUUGAGGUGGCAAAAAAACAAACCAACCACACUUAAAUCAACCAGAACCAAACUUAAGGAUACAUGCAAGCCAUUUGUUUGAUAUUUUUAACAACCCAAAGAGUUUAGUUUUGGUUUGGUUUUAAGCCAAAUUUAACCAAAAAAUCAAUAAUUAUUUAAUUAACUAAAUCAAACAUAUUAGUGAUAUAUUAAUAUAUAGUUAAACCCACAUUUUUUCUCUUUUGGUACGAAGUUCCAUAUAUUUACUUUUGGUUUCAUUUAUAUUUUAUAAACUAGGUGUUUUGCCCGCGAUACGGGCUUAAACAUUUUUAUAAUUUUUGAAAUUUUUUUUGUACACUAUAUUCAUUAUACUAAAAUAAAUCUUAAAAUAACUUAAUAUUAUAGUUUUAAUCAUAUAAUUAAAAAUUUUAUUUGAUUAAUAUUUAAUUAUAUAAUUUAUGUUUUUAACUUUUUACUAAAAUACUUUUUCAGAUAACAAUACAAUAUAUAUAUAUAUAUAUAUAUAGAAAAUAUAUAUUUUUUAAUUAUAUUUUUAGAUUUUGGAUAAUUCAAUUUACUAUUUUUAAUUAUAUAAUUAAGAAUUUUAUUUGAUUAAUAUUUAGUUAUAUAAUUCAUGUUUUAAACUUUUUACUAAAAGACUUUUUCAGAUAACAAUACAAUAUAUAUACAGAAAUUAUCUCGAUUUUGGAUAAUUCAAUAUUCUAUUUUUAAUUAUAUAAUUAAGAACUUUAUUUGAUUAAUAUUUAGUUAUAUAAUUCAUGUUUUUAACUUUUUACUAAAAGACUUUUUCAGAUAACAAUACAAUAUGUAUACAUAAAUUAUCUCUUUUUUAAAUUAUAUUUUCAAAUUUUGGAUAAUUCUUACUAUUAUUAUUUUUAAUCAAUUUUCUAAUCAAAUAAAUUAAAAUUUCGUUUUUAUUUUUUAAUUUAGUUAUAUAUUUUAUUUAUUAAGGAUAUAAACGAUAUUAACCAUUCUAACUUUUAACGUGAGAGCUCGAUUCCAAAAAUUUACUUCGCAAAUAAUAGUAUAGAUUGUUUUGUUUUAAUCAAACAACACUUGAACCAAACUAAAACCAACAACAAUUAAACCAACCAAUAACUCCGACUAAAUUCAGUUAAAGUACCAAACUGAUUUAACUAAACCCAACCAAAUCCAAAACUGAAUCGAAAUGUCCUACCACUGCACCGUAUUUUCUGUCUUUCUUUUGGUAUUCCCGAUCGAUCUAUAUGCACAGUAUUGUACGUGAUUGAGUAAACGCAUAAGUGGCCCUGAACCAGAGCAGAGGAAGCAUGGGAUAUCCAGCCUCCAAGCUAAUAAGUAUAUAAUACAACUUUAUUUUAAAAAAAUCUGUUUUACUCUAGUCGUUGUAUCCUCAUUCUAGGGUUCGAGUCCACCUUUUAGCAUAAAUUUUUCGACCACUUUUUUGUUAUAGGCUUGUAUCCACUAAAAUUAUAUUACCGGCUCUGAGUAAACGUGUGUAGCUAGAGAUUUUAUUUCCAUGUCUUCACUCUAUGAGCAAUUUAUUUUUUGAAAAUCCUGCAUACAUGAUUAAAGUAUAUAUUCCACCGUCCCUUGAAUAACGCAAAUAUGGUUGGAUAUUGGAUAAAACUAGCAUUUGUUUUACCUAUUAAGUUAAACAACUUCAAGUAGGUUAAUAGUCUAACAAACAAAUUAAAGGUAUGCCUAAAUCAAUAGGUUAAAUGCAUUAAGAAAAACGAUUGUAUAUAUCAAUGAUUUUACAUCAAAAGUAACAUCGUAUAGAAAUAUAUCAUAUUAUACAUUUUAUGAGUUACCACAUGUAGAGAAUCGACCUUGGCUGCUUCUUGUAACAAGUAAAUCGACACAACAAUAUGUUGGGCGAGUCCUCUCCAAACCGGAGACAAACUCUAUAUCACUAUGAAUCGAAAACGUUACAAGCUUCGCACUAGUUGCGUGUUCUAUGCUUUAGAGAGUAUUUAUGUUUCUGUGUUUUGCAAUCUCGAGUAGAGACCUCUAUUUAUACUAGACCUAAUCAUGUUAAUCCUUGUUGCAUAAGGAAUAACAUAUGUCCUAAAACUAUAAGGAAUUACAUUCUUUAUCGGACUUAGACUAAUCCAUAUUCUUUAUGUCUUGUUUCAGGUCCAAAACCGAAGCCCAUAAGCAGCCCACCAGAUGGCCCAAGAGACACAAGCCUCACAUUCUCCACCUUGACUCUUUGGCCUCACUCGUCGACUUCUCCGUCUCUCUCUCUUUCUCCUUUGGCGACCAGAAGCUUCGACGAGCUCACCGCUUCGUCUUCUCCGACGAUCGUCUGUUCCUCAACGCCGUCUUCACGGAGAUGCAUGCCUUCUCCGAUUCUCGCUCCUCUCUAUCUCGCCCCGGCUGUAACGUCUCUCUCCUUCGAUUCCCCGUGAUCAAGACAAGAUCCCGACUUCACCGCCGCUCGUCUUCACCGGCGAUUGCUCUCACCGCCUUCACCAUUGAAAAUCCAGGUUCCGUUUGCUCUUCUCAUGUCUUUUUCCUUAGACAUCGACCAAACCUUAACCUUUGAUUUCAAUUUCUUUCCAGCUUGUCCCUUGAUGAAAUCAAUAAAAAAUCCCUUGAGUCUUCGUGUUCUUCCGGUGAAUCCUACACCACACGACCUUCAUACGGACCAAAUCAGACACGUCAAAUUUCAAAAGGUAACUCCUUUUGUUUUGACUUUUUCUUCUUCCUGUAGACAUCCGUGUCUUCAUGCUCUCUUAAAGAAAACCUGUAAUGAAAGAUUCAUUUGCUGAAAAAUUAAACUUAUUCCUUGUUUAAUUUCCACAGCUUAUGGUGCUGACGUCUCUUCACCACUUCACUUCCAUUAGGUAAUCAAACAGAGUUGUUUCUUCAAUCCCUUUAAGAGCUUUGAAUCUGUGAACUAAUAACCUUGUAUUCACAGCUUUGUUGUAGACGUUUCCUUGCUACAGUCACACGUAUCCUUCAGGUAUGACAUCUGAUUCUGCUUCUUUAUAAUGGUGUCUCAACUUCUGUUGAAGCUUAUUAUCCUGCAAAUUCAUUCGGUUGACUAGUAUUUGAACUAACUUUGCAGAUUCCUUGUGUAGACAACUCCUGUCUACAGUCACCAUUCUUCAAAGGUAAUAAAAAAUUUUUUUCUUCUUGAACUCAUCCCAAGCCUUUUAUAACUCCCUGUCGAAAAAACAUCAGUUUUCUUUUCUCGAAACUGAUACAUUUUGUGGCCUUUCCGCGAGGUGAUCACUUCGACAGCUGUGUCACUUGCAGCCACCGAGACCUACUAAGGCAGAACCUUGAGGAUCUCCAAGCAUGUCUCGAACUUCUGUCCAGGUACACACUUAGUUAGAAAAUCUGCAGGGUUGAUAGAUGUGUGAAUCUUGUGAACCGUAACGUCGCCAGCCUCAAUUACGUCUCUCAUAAAGUGUAGUCUAGUAUCUAUAUGCUUAGUCCUUUCAUGGAAUCCUCCAUUCUUAGCUAAGUGUAUAGCACUUUGAGAAUCUGAAAACACUCUCACAUCAUCUUGCUUGAAUCCCAAUUCACUAACAAACCCCUUAAGCCAUAAUGCUUCUUUAAAAGCUUCGGCUAAUGCCAUGUAUUCUGAUUCUGUCGUUGAUAGUGCGACAAUAUGUUGGAGACCUGAUCUCCAGCUUAUUGUGUUGCCUCCGACUUGAAACACAUAUCCUGUCACAGAUCUUCUUCUGUCCAAAUCGGUUGCGUAGUCUGCGUCACAGAAUCCUUGUACUUUGAACUCUUCUCCUUUAGUAAACAAUAGAUCCGAAUCUAGAGCUCCUUUAAGAUAUCUCAUCACCCACUUAACAGCUUCCCAGUGUAUUCUUCCUGGCUUGCUCAUAUAACGGCUGAUUAAGCCUACUGCGAAACAUAAGUCUGGUCUAGAUCCCACCAUUGCAUACAUUAAACUUCCAACGGCUGAUGCGUAUGGAAUCACGUUCAUGAACCUUGCUUCCUCGUGCUCUUCCUUUUGUGUCAAACUUUUAAGCUUAAAUUGUGGUCCGAUAGGAGUAACCACAGCUUUGCUCUCUGCCAUGUUAAAAGUUUCCAGCACCUUCUGUAGAUACUUCCCUUGCGAUAGUUUUAGAGUUCCUUUCUUCCUGUCUCUAAUAAUAUCCAUUCCAAGUAUUCUUGAAGCUGCUCCAAGGUCCUUCAUCUCAAACUCUCUCUUCAAGCUAUCUUUGAUUCUUUUAAUUUCUUUAGAAUCCUUAGAUGCUAUGAGCAUGUCAUCAACAUAGAUCAAGAGAUAAACCAUAUGAGAUAAAUCUGAACCUUUCAUGUAGACACAAGGAUCAUAUGCACUUCUUUCGAAGCCUUGUUGCUUCAUGAAACUAUCAAAUCUCCUAUUCCACUGUCUUGGUGACUGUUUUAAUCCGUAAAGGGAUUUCAACAGGAGACAAACUUGAUCUUCUUUUCCUUCCUCAACGAAACCUUCUGGCUGUGCCAUAAAAAUCUCCUCGUCUAACGUUCCGUACAGGAAAGCCGUUUUCACGUCUAGUUGUUCCAAAUCUAGAUCAUAAUUUGCAACAAGUGACAACAUAAUUCUAAUCGACACGUGUUUCACCACUGGUGCAAACACCUCUGUGUAGUCGAUCCCUUCAACUUGUGAAAACCCUUUAGCUACUAAUCUAGCUUUGUAUCUCGGCUUCUCAAUUCCAGGAAUGCGAAUGCCUUCUUUCAGCUUGAAAACCCACUUGCUGCCAAUAAUCUUCUUUUUCUCUGGUUUCUCAACCAGCUUCCAAGUCUGAUUUUUCUCCAAUGAAUCCAUCUCUUCUUGCAUUCCCUCGUUCCAUAACUUCCAGUUCUUACUCCUUCUUGCUUCCAAAUAGGAUUUAGGCUCAUCCUUAUUUAUUUCUUCUGCUGUAGCUAGAGCAUAAGCCACGCAAUCUGAAUCAUCAAACCUAGAAGGUUUCUUUACUUCUCUUCUGAUUCUAUCUCUAGCAAGAAUGUAGUUGUCUAGAUUUUCCUGUUGAGCUCCCACAACUUCUUCUUCUCUUUCUGAGCUUGAAGAUUCAGGUUCCGAGUUUUCUGAUGGUGGAGAAGCUCCACCUUGAACUAUAUCCUCUGUCUCAGUGUCUGUAGUUGUGUUUGAAGGUCCUUGAAUCAGCACAGGAUUGAACAUUACCUUUUUUGUUUUCCUUUUCUUCUCGCUGACUCCCUUAAUGUCUUUAAACAUCUCUUCCUCAUUGAAAAUCACAUUUCUGCUCACUGUACAUCUUAGCUCUUCUGGUAACCACACUCGAUAACCUUUAGUCCCCUCUGGAUAUCCCAUGAAAACUCCUUUCAUUGCUCUUGGACUGGUUUUGGCCUGAGUCACGUGAACAUAAGCUGUACACCCGAACUUCCUUAGAUGAUUUAAGUCUGUUUUGGUUCCAGACCAAACCUCUGCCGGUAGUUUGAAGUUAAUAGCUGUACUAGGAGAUCGGUUGAUUAAGUAGACAGCUGUAGAAGCCGCUUCCGCCCAGAACUUUUGCUCUAAGCCUGCCUCUGUCAACAUACAUCUUACCUUCUCCAUAAUAGUACGGUUCAUGCGUUCUGAUACUCCGUUUUGCUGUGGAGUAUAGACGCAUGUUCUGUGUCUUUUAAUCCCUGCUUCCUUACACAAUGUGUCCAUCUGUGUAUUGCAGAACUCUAAUCCGUUAUCCGUCCUUAGACACUUCACCUUCUUUCCUGUCUCAGUUUCUACGCAUGUUUUCCAUUCCUUGAAGUUUUGAAACACUUCAUUCUUUGAUCUUAGGAAAUAGAUCCAAACUUUCCUAGAAAAAUCAUCAAUGAAUGUAACAAAAUAGAAACAUCCUCCGAGACUCUCUACCACCGAAGGUGAACCCCAUAAAUCUGAAUGGAUGUACUCUAGGACUUCGUUAGAAGUGUGCUUGCCUUUUGGAAAGCUUAGCUUGUGUGCUUUACCCAGAACACAAUUCUCGCAAAACUCUAAUGUCUUCACAUCCUUUGCGUUUAAAUAUCCUUCCUUGACUAGAAUAUUCAUGCCCUUUAGACUCAUAUGUCCAAGCCUAGAGUGCCACCUUUUAGUCAAAUCGAUAUCAGGCCUUGCGACUGCAGCUUCACCAUCCAAUACUGUUCCUUGUAAGUAGUACAGACCAUCGCAGUAUUUUCCAGAAAUAACCUUCUGAUCUCCUUUGUAAAACUGCACCAUGAAGUUUUCGCCUUCGUAUCUGCAUCCCAUCUUCUCCAAUAAACCGUAGGAGAUAAGGUUUCUGCCCAUUGUAGGCAUGUAACGAACAUCAGUGAGAAUCACACUCGAUCCAUCAUUAUUCAUGAUCCUGAUCUUUCCGAUCCCUUUAAUCUCGCUGAUAGUGUUAUUUCCCAUCAAAACCUUUCCUCCUUCUAUGUCUUCAAGAUCAAAUAAGACAUCUUUAUUUGGGGUGAUAUGGAAUGUACAGCCAGAAUCAAGUACCCACUCGUCUUUAGUAGCUUGCUGGCUAGCUACUAAUACUAAUGGUUCCUCCUUCUCUUCUGCUAUGUUGACAGAGUUUGAUGGCUUCUUUCUUUCUGGACACUGCUUUUUAAAAUGUCCUUCCUUGCCACAUGUCCAACAUUCUUUAGAGAACUUAGGUCUUGAUUUUGAUCUGUUAUUGCUUUUAGAUCUAGCUCUCCAAGUCUUAUCGUUCUUCUUCUCACCUCUGCCUCUGUUUUCGCCAGCAAACAGCCCCUCCGAGUUAUUUUUAGACUUGUUAAGAAGUCCCUUCUCCCUUAAUUCUACUUCCUUAGAAUAGGCAGAACUUGUAACAUCUCGAACUGUUAAAGUCUCCUUCCCGCUUCCAUACUUGAGAGCAUCCACGAGAGACUCAUACUGCUUAGGCAAGCUUGUUAGAAUCUGAAUAGCUUGGUCUUCUUCGCUAAUCUUGAUAUCCAGACUAGCUAGAUCAGCCACAAGUUUCAGGAACACAUCUAAAUUUUCCUCAAUAGACUUAUGUUCAUCCAUUCUGAAACCUGCAUAUCUUUGCUUCAUGUAGAUUCGAUUAGGUAACGUCUUGGUUUGAUACUCGGCUUCUAGAGCCUUCCACAUAGCUAAUGCUGUUGUCUCGUGCAUGACUUUGCGUAGUAUGAGAUCAGAUAGACAGACACUGAUCAGGUUCUUGGUACGCAAUUCCUUGUCUUGCUCUUUAGGAUCAAGUUUAGUAUCCUUCUGUUCUUCACCUUCAACCACCGUAGAAGGAUCUCUCUCCUUAAGAACAGACCCCAAACCAAAAAUCUCUAACUGACAUAGCAUCUUGUAUUUCCAUAGACCAAAGUCACCCUUCCCAUCGAACUUCUCCACUUCAAAUUUCUUUGAUGUUGCUUCCAUCUCUCUAUUAACCCGAAAACUAUUUGUUUCUUUGUUUGCAGGUUGAUGUAACACGCCCUGACCUUCAAGCUUCAAUAACCACGAGCUGAGACCCUCUUACCACACCAGAUAAGUAUUCUGCUUGUUUGUUUUAUUGAAUCUUGCCUUCGAAUCUCUGUACUUGGAUCUAGGUUAGCCUUAGCUCUGAUACCACUUGUAGAGAAUCGACCUUGGCUGCUUCUUGUAACAAGUAAAUCGACACAACAAUAUGUUGGGCGAGUCCUCUCCAAACCGGAGACAAACUCUAUAUCACUAUGAAUCGAAAACGUUACAAGCUUCGCACUAGUUGCGUGUUCUAUGCUUUAGAGAGUAUUUAUGUUUCUGUGUUUUGCAAUCUCGAGUAGAGACCUCUAUUUAUACUAGACCUAAUCAUGUUAAUCCUUGUUGCAUAAGGAAUAACAUAUGUCCUAAAACUAUAAGGAAUUACAUUCUUUAUCGGACUUAGACUAAUCCAUAUUCUUUAUGUCUUGUUUCAGGUCCAAAACCGAAGCCCAUAAGCAGCCCACCAGAUGGCCCAAGAGACACAAGCCUCACACCACAUAUCAAAGAAAAAAUGCAAACCGAUAUUUUCAUUAUAAUUAGCUCAAUCAUUUUAAUUUUAUAUUCAUCUUCCAAUUUCAUAAACUAAUAGCUGGUGGGUGCUUCUUUCCAUUGGUGAGUUAGUUUUGAAAUUUAUGCAUAUAUUUUUUUUCCCAAAAUGGUGUUGGAAUAAAUACGUUGCAUGUUUGUUCAAAUACACGGUCAUGCUUAAGAAACCUCCUUUAAUUCUGUAGCUUUCUAUUGUUCUUUCUCACACACGAUGUGCAUUGUUUGAAACUUUCAAUAUAACCACUAACUGAUUUGAAAUUUUAUUAAAAACAUUAUAUUUUAUAAUUUUAUAUUUUAUUAGUAUAUUAUAACUAAUUAAAAAAAUAAUCAAAACUUUAUUUACGCAACACUUGUUCGAUUAUUAUAAAAAACCUGUAUAGCAAUUAGCACACACUUUUCAUCUCCUACAUUCCCAUCAAUUGUCGGUCACGUAUGUGAAUCACGUGGCUUACCUCUUCCAUAUUUGCUUCAAAUGUAUGAACUAAUAAAAUAAAAUACUUAUCAGUCCACAUUGUCUUUUAGCCUCUUUAAUCUCUAUAUAUAACAGCAAAAAUCAUUUACAUUUCUUUAAGUAUUCUUUACUUAAGUCUCGGUAAAAAAAAAGUAUUCUUUACUUCAGAGAUCAAAUACACACUCAUGGAGAGGUUCCAUAAGUUUCCUCUCCUAGGUUUGGUUCUUUUCCUCGGCUUUAUCGGCUCACCGACCAAGGCCAUUGUACAUGCAUGCUCUAGUACAGAACUAACCUUCAGUCGUGCCAACUUCCCGGAGGGUUUCAUUUUUGGUACCUCAACCGCAGCUUUUCAGGUGUUUACACGAAUAUGCAUGUUGCUAAGUUGAUUUUUUCUAAAACAAUUAAUGUUUGUGACAAAGCUAUUCUUGAAUGUUAGCGAUUUUUGUGGUAAAUUAAAUAAAUAAAUAAAUAGGUUGAAGGAGCUGUACAUGAAGGAUGUAGAGGUCCAAGCAUGUGGGACACCUACACUAAGAAAUUCCCACGUCUCUCUCUCUCUCUCUGCCUUUAUCUAAUUUUUUUUUAUGUCAACUACUUUCUUAUAUAUAAUUCAGUUUGUCUAAUAAUAAAUGUCAAUUAUAUAUACAAUCAUCAGAUUUUUUUUCUUCCAGAUAGAAAUAAUUAUCAUAAGGCCGACGUUGCCGUCGAUUUCUACCAUCGUUACAAGGUAUUAAUGAUGUUAUUUAUCCAUGGUUUAUAUGUACUUCCGUGGCUCUUCUAGAAAAAAUUGAAGCUCUUUCAAAUCAUAUUAAUUUUAAUUAAAUUUAAUAGGAAGAUAUCAAGUUGAUGAAAGAUCUGAACACUGACGGAUUUAGAUUUUCCAUUGCAUGGCCUAGAAUAUUCCCACGUAAGUAAAAAGAACUUUCAGUAAGCUAUAACUUAACAUUUGAUGAAAGUAAGUAAACAACAGAAAAUCAAAAUCGUUUAACAGAUGGUAGGAUGGAGAAAGGAAUAAGCAAAGCAGGUGUGCAGUUUUACCACGACCUAAUUGAUGAGCUCCUCAAAAAUGGUAAUUUAACUCACAAACCAUACUAUAUUAAAACUAUUUUUAUUAAAAUUUUAGUUUACUAAGUCUUAGUUUUUUUUGAAACUUAGAAAUAACACCGUUAGUAACCGUUUUUCACUGGGACACUCCUCAAGACUUGGAAGAUGAAUACGGUGGCUUCUUAAGCGACCGUAUAAUGUAAGCUUGUUUUUUGUUUGUCAUUUUCAACUCACACGAGUUAGUACUAUAUAUGUAACUUAUAAACUGGCGUAUACUUGUUUCGUAUAAUUAGAAAGGAUUAUACGGAGUACGCAAAUUUCACGUUCCAGGAGUACGGACACAAAGUGAAGCAUUGGAUCACAUUUAACGAGCCAUGGGUAUUCAGUCGAGCUGGCUACGACAUCGGGAAAACAGCACCGGGACGUUGCUCUAAGUACAUCAAAGAGCAUGGGGACUUGUGUCACGAUGGACGAUCAGGACAUGAAGCUUAUAUCGUUAGUCAUUAUAUGCUCUUGGCACAUGCGGAUGCCGUAGAGGCCUUUAGAAAAUGCGACAAGGUUUCCAUAUAUAGAACAUAAUCAUCUUUUAAAUAAAUUUUAGUAUUCAGGUAACUUGAUGAACAAGUAUUAAUUAAGAAACAUUUAUCUCUAAUGAUUUACAGUGUAAAGGUGGUAAAAUUGGGAUUGCUUAUACUCCGGCUUGGUUUGACCAGAACGAGCUCACGGAUGAGCCGCACAAGCUCUCAGAAGAAGAACACGCAACUCCUGCAACUAAUUUGAUUGACUUCGUCUUGGGAUGGUAAGAAAAUAGCUAGAAUAUUCCUAUAAUACAUAUAAUCAAGCAGUGGAAUACUAGCGGUGAAAAGAAAUUUUGGAGCUGUUAGUCAUUGAUUCGAUUUUCGCCAGUUACCAAUUCCGUUGAAAGUUAUUUAAGCCUCGGUCCAAACAUCCACAAUUACUUAUAUAUAUCAUCUGUGUGUGACAAAUACUAAUUUUCUUCGUCAGGCAUUUGAAUCCGACCACGUAUGGCGAUUAUCCACAAUCGAUGAAAGAUCAUGUCGGAGAUCGACUACCAGAAUUCACAGAAGCACAGAAGAACAAGUUGAAAAAUUCUGCUGAUUUUGUAGGAAUCAAUUACUAUUAUUCACUAUUUGCACUGCACGGCGAAGAGCAAGAUCCUUCGAAACCGAGUUGGCAGAGUGAUUCUCUCAUUGACUAUGAACGUAAAUCUUUUUGAAAAACUCUUUACCAGACUAUUUAUUAUUUUAUAUAGAAUUUAGAAUAUUUUCGAAUUUCGUUUUUCUAUUCUUUUCAGCUAGGUAUGUGGAUAGAUUCAAUGCCUUUACAAUCAAGGUAUGCGAUUUUUCGACGUAAAAUUAAAAUGUGAACCUUUUUUCCUUCUUAAUAUAUAUACUUUUCCAUUUUUCAGCCUGAUGUUGCUAAAGUUGACGUCUACUCAAAUGGUUUGAGAAGACUUCUGAACUACAUAAAGGAUAAAUAUGGCAAUCCUGAAGUCAUUAUCACCGGGAAUGGUAAUAGAAACCUUUACCUAUUUUGAAUCUCAAAAUCAUAUCAGAGAUCGAUUUUUAUUUAUUAGCUUUCUUUUACAUUCCAUAUAAACCCUGAGAUAUUUAUAAUAUUUGAUUAAUAUAAGGAUACGGAGAGGAUCUAGGUGAGCAAGACAGAAGUCUUGUACUGGCGCUCUCAGAUCACCACAGAACAUACUAUAUUCAGAAGCAUCUCUUGAGCUUGCACCAAGCAAUUUGGUUUGUGAACAAAUCGUAUUCUUGAGUUUUAUUUUGAUAGUAGUGCUAAUUUAAUUAUUUCCUUUAAUUUAUGUGAUAUAUAUUUAUUUGUAUCCCUUUUCUUAAUUUUGCAGCGAGGAUAAAGUAAAUGUUACAGGGUAUUUUCUUUGGUCAUUGAUGGAUAAUUUUGAAUGGCAAGAGGGGUACAGCGCGAGAUUUGGACUAUACUACGUCGAUUACAAAAAUAAUUUGACGCGCCAUGAAAAAUUAUCAGCCCAGUGGUACUCGAGUUUUCUCCAAGAUGGAAAAGAGUUCGAGUUUGAUCAGCACGAUGAGUACCAUGAGCACGAUGAGUACCAUGAGCACGAUGAGUACCAUGAGCACGAUGAGUUGUAGAGAGAAUGUUCUACUACCGCCUUCGAUAUUUUGAGUCAUAAACUACAAUCAACUAAUGUAUUUCCAUAUUCAAGAAAUAUAAUCAUAUUUAUCCAUA
rnacentral:lncRNA from 1 species